AGAGUUUGAUCAUGGCUCAGAUUGAACGCUGGCGGCAGGCCUAACACAUGCAAGUCGAGCGGUAGAGAGAAGCUUGCUUCUCUUGAGAGCGGCGGACGGGUGAGUAAUGCCUAGGAAUCUGCCUGGUAGUGGGGGAUAACGUCCGGAAACGGACGCUAAUACCGCAUACGUCCUACGGGGGAAAGCAGGGGACCUUCGGGCCUUGCGCUAUCAGAUGAGCCUAGGUCGGAUUAGCUAGUUGGUGGGGUAAUGGCUCACCAAGGCGACGAUCCGUAACUGGUCUGAGAGGAUGAUCAGUCACACUGGAACUGAGACACGGUCCAGACUCCUACGGGAGGCAGCAGUGGGGAAUAUUGGACAAUGGGCGAAAGCCUGAUCCAGCCAUGCCGCGUGUGUGAAGAAGGUCUUCGGAUUGUAAAGCACUUUAAGUUGGGAGGAAGGGCAGUAAAUUAAUACUUUGCUGUUUUGACGUUACCGACAGAAUAAGCACCGGCUAACUCUGUGCCAGCAGCCGCGGUAAUACAGAGGGUGCAAGCGUUAAUCGGAAUUACUGGGCGUAAAGCGCGCGUAGGUGGUUCGUUAAGUUGGAUGUGAAAUCCCCGGGCUCAACCUGGGAACUGCAUUCAAAACUGACGAGCUAGAGUAUGGUAGAGGGUGGUGGAAUUUCCUGUGUAGCGGUGAAUGCGUAGAUAUAGGAAGGAACACCAGUGGCGAAGGCGACCACCUGGACUGAUACUGACACUGAGGUGCGAAAGCGUGGGGAGCAAACAGGAUUAGAUACCCCGGUAGU
rnacentral:rRNA from 1 species